GAUGAACGCUGGCGGCGUGCCUAAUACAUGCAAGUCGAGCGAACAGACGAGGAGCUUGCUCCUCUGACGUUAGCGGCGGACGGGUGAGUAACACGUGGAUAACCUCCCUAUAAGACUGGGAUAACUUCGGGAAACCGGAGCUAAUACCGGAUAAUAUAUUGAACCGCAUGGUUCAAUAGUGAAAGACGGUUUUGCUGUCACUUAUAGAUGGAUCCGCGCCGCAUUAGCUAGUUGGUAAGGUAACGGCUUACCAAGGCAACGAUGCGUAGCCGACCUGAGAGGGGGAUCGGCCACACUGGAACGGAGACACGGUCCAGACUCCUACGGGAGGCAGCAGUAGGGAAUCUUCCGCAAUGGGCGAAAGCCUGACGGAGCAACGCCGCGUGAGUGAUGAAGGUCUUCGGAUCGUAAAACUCUGUUAUGAGGGAAGAACAAAUGUGUAAUUAACUAUGCACGUCUUGACGGUACCUAAUCAGAAAGCCACGGCUAACUACGUG
rnacentral:rRNA from 1 species